UCAUUUCAGUUUCUGUUCCCUAUGCUGGAAAUGGCAAAAGUGAGGCCCCGAACUUAGAAGACUAAGCUUGGGUUUAGUAAGCUUUUUACCAGAAGAGGGUAAAAAAACUCAAGCUUAGUACUCCCACUUUGGGGGCCUUUCAACCUCAAAAUGUGAACCCUGAGGAGCCUUCUCAGUCCACCCUUCGUCCUCUCAUACAACCUAAGGGGUUCCCACAAGCCUAAGACUUUCCAAAAAUGUAGAAACAAACUCCUCUUAUCGAAGCCCAAUCUUGCCUUCGUGCCAGAGACUACUUGUCUCCUACCUUUGCCGUGCUCCUGGGCUCUGUCUCCCUGCCCUCUGCCUCCGCCUCAAUCUCACACACAUAGCUGAGAGUUCUUCAAAAAUGAGCUGCUAUAUUCAUUUAAAGAUGCCCCCAGGUGAGUGGGGCAAAUAUAAAGAGAAGAACUACCUCCUGGGAACUAGGCCCUUGACAAACACUAUUGCAAAUAAAAUACCUCUGCAAAUGGAUCGUUAUUCCCAUUUUACAGAAACAGAAACUGAGGCUCAGAGAAUAUAACCAACUUACAUCCUAAGUCACACUCCUAAAAAGUGAUGGGAUGGGAUUUGAAGCCCAGAGCCAUAGAUCCUGAGGGCCACACUUUCCAACCACAGUACAUGCUAUAAACUGAAUGUUGGUGUAUUCCCAAAAUUUCUAUGUUGAAGCCCCAACCCCCAUUAUGAUGGUAUUUGAAGAUGGGGCCUUCGGGAGGUAAUUAUGGUCAGAUGAGGUCAUGAGGGUGGGGCCUUCAUGAUGGGAUUAGAAAGACCAGCGUUCUGAGGACAAAAGAAGAAGGUGCCUAUCUCCCUAUCAGGAAGAGAGCUCUCAACAGAAAGUGAAGCCAGCACCUGGAUCUUAGACUUGCAGCCUCCAGAAAUGUUUAAGUCCCAGCUGCUCUUUGUGGACCAGGACUGAACAUAUCUUUGUACCCUCCACCUCCAACACGAGGCCUGGAACUUGACAGGCCAAGGCUAUUGUGAGCAUGGAACUGUGUGACACUCCACCAUCUCAUCCAAGUGGACUAUGCAAGAUUUCCAUCUCCCCAUUUCCACGUGGCAAAUGUAAAGCAAAUAAGAUUUGAAGCCUCCAAUAGACUGAAAAAUGUCAACCCAGAUUUCUCCCCACCAAAACCAACCAACCAACCAACCAGAGAAAUUCCACAUGUUAGAAACUCCCCAUGAGCUUGGAUCCAAAGAUUCGGUGAUAUCCAGCUGGCAGUCUAUGCCAGAUUUGUCAAAGUGAGUCCCAAGGCUCCUAAAGAAGCGUUAAUCUUCUGUCAGGAGUACCAACUCCAAUAGGGCCUCAACAAGCAAAUUAUGUUCCGGAGAUUUUAGGGCCCAAUGGUGGUAAAAUGUUUAUCACUCUAAUGGCUUUGAAGUGUAAACAGACUUCAUAUCAACACAGUGAUUCUUCUUAUACACACAUUCGGGCUUUUACAUUGUGCUUAAGUUGGCAGGCUUAAAAGUAGAUUAGUGAGUUUCAAGAGUUAGGGUUUUCCCAGGAAAAGCACAUUUAUUGAGCCAGUUGGUCAGUCACUGAUCUAAAACAAUUGUUUUACCUUAGAAAUUUUAGACCCUGAGAUGUCUUAAGGGUGUCUGAGAUCCAGAAAUUCUCCCUUGAACACAAUCCAAGAAGGGCCAAUAAAUAAACCUGAUUCAUGGCAAGAGGCAUUACAUUCAGAAAAAGACCCACACAUCACAAUAAUCCACUCGAUUACUGGAGGCAGGAACGUAGAUCAGGGAUGUAAACUGGCAGUGGAUUAAAAGGAAAAAAAACCCACAAUAAUGUCUAAUAUUGAGAUAGCACAGCUCUCAAUAAUUCAAAGCACAUGCGCUUCUAUUGUGUUACCUUAACCUAGCCAGAAGCCUGUAAAGGCAGGUAUAAGGAGGGCUAGUAACCGCAUUUUAAAAAGGAAAAAAGUUUAAAGAGGCAAAUUAUUGACUUGGCCAAGGCUAUUUAGGCAAUCGAUGAAAGCCAGAUUCAUAACCCAGUCUCCCACCUAAGGAAGUCAACUUGCCUAUGACAGUGACUAGUGGUAACCAAGCCAGUAAGGAAGAUUCAAAACCAGCAGCUAAAUCAAAGAUGUUAACUGGGUGUUCAAGAAUCCUCCUUGUGACUCAAGGAUCAAGGAAAGACCAAGAAAACAAGUCUCUCCCACGAGUUAAGUUCAGAACCCAAAGCUCUUUCUUUCCUCAGAAAAAAAAGCUACAAGCAUUUCACCUGCCUUCUGAAAGGAGGCAAGAGAGAGUCCAAGUGCUACAUCCUCUUACCUAUACCUUCUUACUUCACCCCAUGUCAGAUGCUGGGGAACCACCACAAACCAGGGAGCUGCCCUGUGAAGCUUAGCAUCUCUCUCCCUCUCUUAUCCCCAACUAUAGAGAGAAUAGCAGUAAGUCGAACAACACUCCACUUCUCCAAAAAAGUUUAUACACAUGCGUGAGCAUUCCAUACAAUGUAUGUAAUAAACUGGAAGAGCACCCAAGUAAAUAAAGAACAGAUCAAAAGGGAGGUAUGAGGCAGCCACAUUCAACUCUGCACUUGAAAAUUUAAAUGAAUACUCCUUGAGAGCAAACUACAAAAUGCUAACCUUGAAGUGCUGAGUGGCAGGAAGAAUUAUGGGUUAUUGUACUGUCAAAAUGCCAGACAGCUGUAUGUUGAGUUGCUGCGUUAUUUAGACAAUCAGAAACUUGGAAGCUAAUGUGACAUAUUUUUUUUCGGUGUGAAAGCUCUUGACAUACAUCACGAUAAUUUCUAAAGGGACAAAAUGUUAUAUAAAAAACAUGGUGCCUUCAGGAGAUGGCCUCAUAGGUAGAACAGCCCCAGGCAGACCAGGAAGGAUGUCAACAGUGUGGACUUCCCAAGGGAGAGGACCAUUUCCUUCCAGUCUUAGUCCACAGGGGGGUGGUCCCAAGCAACAUGGAGCACACUCAUUACAACUUCCUACUCUCUCAUCACGGAAGAAAUGCUCUUGGAUUCACCUGCCUGGCUGUAGGCUGGGCUGGGCCAGGUGAAGCCCACUAAUUGCAGGAUCAUCUCUCAGCUGGAUGAGCAAUAUGGAGAUCACAUUCAGAGGAUGCUACCAGAGAUCAUGGUGCUGUGCAAACCAGGGGGAGAAAUGGGGCUACAAUUCUACCUCUGCUCUUGCAAGUUAGUUUACCUUCCACAUGUAUUCUUGAUUGGCUCGUGGACAAGUACAAAUAGAAUGAGUGGUAGCCAUUUUAAGGAAAUUCCUAGCUUUGACUCUCAGGUUGCCCUAAAGUGAGAGUGGGAGGCAGGUCAUGGUUGACUGUACCUGAAAUUCUACCUUCAGUACUUUCACUACAACUAAAAUACAAACAUUAACACAUUGAACUUCCAAGAGUCACCGCUAACUUAGGGCAUAUGGAAGUUCUGAGAAUUGGUUUUGCCGGGUGGGGGGAGGAGGAGUAUAGGAUUUAAGAUCCAGAUGAGGGACAGGGGCCUAUGGGACAGGCAGAAAGAUAAGCCAGAGAAAAUUCCAGAUAGAAAGUACCAUACUCUGUGGAUUUGCCCUCUUCUCUGCAUUUCUUCUUAAUCAAAAGGAAAACCAUCCCAUCCAGGAGAAGAGAAAGCGGCUGGAGACUGGUGGGUCAAGGGGAGUGUUCCUCUCCUAACAAGCAUUUCCAGUCAGCAGGCACAGACUCUAUCCUGAGGCCACCUCUACCACAUGUACCAAUAGCAUGACCUUUAGCAAAUUAUUUAACCACAGUUUCCUUAAAUGCAAAGUGGGAACAACAAGAAUAACAUCCUCAAACUGAUGUUGAAAGAUUUCAUGGGCUAAUUACUUAGAGCAGUGCCAGCCAGGUGAUGAUGGUUCUACUCAAAUAUUAUCACAGCAUCCUCCUCUUAUCAUCACAGCUAACAGUUUAUACCAAAUCCCCACUGCCAGCUGCAGGAGUAGAAUCCCCCGGGAUACUUUUCCCAGGACAGCAAAGCAACUUUGAAUCACAAGAGUUUCCUGUGCUCCCUGCUAUGUGAUCCUAGACAGGAUCCUACACCCAACACUCACUCACCCCAGAAAAGGCCAGCAUACUGUGCCAUGCAGAGAAGGAAGUCCAUUGUCUAAGUGGAAAUCACCUGGAUUUAGAUGGUGCCACCCCCCCACAAGCUCCACUAAGCGUUCACAGCAGGGUUAACAAGUACCAAGGAGAUUUCAAAGACAAACUACUGGUAGGGGCUGCCAGGAGAUUGCUGGGAAGAUAAUGCGGAAGCCCUACGAGGUUAGCAGCCAACUUGCCUCCUUGAAGAGAAAGCCACAGAGCCACCAAGAGGAAAGUAGCACUGGGAGGUGGGGAAAGAGAUCAACUGUGACUGGUAUGAUUUGGGCUGUGGAUCCAGCUGUGCUGAAAGUCAUAUUUACCCUUGGCCUUUUCAGAUGUGUGGACUAAUAAAUUUCUGUUGAUGAUAAUUUAAACUGAGAUUCUGGUAUGCCUGGCUGGCUUGACUGGUGGAGCAUAUGACUCUUGAUCUCGGGGUUGUGAGUUCAAGCCUCACGUUGGGUGUAGAGAUUACUUAAAUAAACAAACAAACAAAAAAAUAAAAUAACUGAGAUUCUGAUUAGUAAAACAUGCAAUAUGCUGGAUGCCAUGGAUGACUGGUAUUUUUAACAGUUCUGUUUCUCUCCAUCUUAAAAACAACUCCUUGCUUUUCCUACUCACUUCCUUUCCCAUUUUCCAUUUUUCCUCAGAUUUUCCCCUCAAUCAGAAACAAAUAUAAGAAAUUUCUGCUAACCGUCCAACAUGGUAUUUGUUCUUCAAAGACCACUGUCAAACCUCUCCCCAUCUCAGAGGACAAGGAGUUCAGCCACAGGGAUGAGCUCAGCAAGAACCCAGCUAAGUCAUCAAGCUGUUGAAGGAAAGGCCUGCCACUUCAUCCAUCCAGACAUUGACAUUCUCGUGUGACCUCAUGGAGCAUGGUCAGAGCUCAACAAGCUACCUGUGACUCUGCGAUUAAGUUCUGGCCAAUGCGAUGUAAGGGGAUGUGUCAGGUGGGACAUAUGGAAGUUUCCUUAAAAGAAAACGAUCUCAUUCUUUGUCCCUCCCCCCUUCCGGCUUCUUGGAAUGAGACAUGAUGGCAAGAGUACAAGCCAUAUCUGGAAUCAUAAGAAAAUAGGCUAAGAAUGAUAGAGCUCAAGGGGAAGACACCAGGGCUCCUCAUGACAUCAUGAAACUAGCACAUCAACCCUUUACUACCUACCCCCACGUUUCUUCCAUGUGAGAAAGAAAGCUCCAUAAUGUUAAGCUACAUAAGGUGAGUCUUUCUCUUACAUUCUCAUUCUAAUGAAUACAGCAUCAAUCUCUUACUCUAGCAGUUCACCUACCACCUCAACCAAGGUACAACCAGAAAAACUCUACCCAGAGCAUCUGUCCCCUAAGUAUUCAGGAACCAAACAGGGCCUGAAACAAUAGGUAGUGCCAUUUAUGUGUUCAUUUACGAACCACUGCUCCAAAUGUUUUAUAUACAAUAUUCUAUUUCAAUCUCCCAACAAACCUACAUGAUGGGGACUAUUAUAACCUCACUUACACAAAUGAAGACACUGAGGCACAGAAAAGGACUAAGUACCAUGCCUGAAGUCACGCAAUUAAUACGCGGUAGAGCCAGAACUCAGAUGCAACAGUGUGACUCCAAAGGAUAAGUUCUCAACCCUGCUGCUCUCUCAUGGGACCAAAGGGACAUCAGACACUGGACUCUCAGAGGAGCUGGCUUCUUAGUGGCUCAAACAGCUUCCCCAUCACAGACCCUUAGCCAACUGCCCUCAAGGCCAAAAUGACUUUGGCCUCUCCAGAAAUCAUCAGAAGGCCCCAAUAGCCCUUCUUGUCAUCAUACUAACACCAUAUCUUAAGUAAAACCAAAUACAAAUCUGAUGCCUAAGCAUAAAUGUCUGCCUUAUUUUGUAGGUCAAAGCAACAUUCAAAAAUAUAUUCAAAAGGAAUACCCAGAAAAUCUCUGUCUCAAUCCCCCUCACGAAUUCCAUUCAGCUACUUAGAUGCCCUGGACAGAGUAGGGC